AGUGAACGCUGGCGGUAGGCCUAACACAUGCAAGUCGAACGGCAGCACAGUAAGAGCUUGCUCUUACGGGUGGCGAGUGGCGGACGGGUGAGGAAUACAUCGGAAUCUACUUUUUCGUGGGGGAUAACGUAGGGAAACUUACGCUAAUACCGCAUACGACCUACGGGUGAAAGCAGGGGAUCUUCGGACCUUGCGCGAUUGAAUGAGCCGAUGUCGGAUUAGCUAGUUGGCGGGGUAAAGGCCCACCAAGGCGACGAUCCGUAGCUGGUCUGAGAGGAUGAUCGGCACAAUGGGAACGGGAACCGGGUCAAGACCCAUACGGGGGGAGGAAGGGGGAAAAUUGGGAAAAGGGGGGAAAGCUUGACCAGGCCUACCGGGGGGGGGAAAAAGGGCCUUUGGGUUGUAAAGCCUUUUUUUGGGAAAAAAAAACAAGAGGUUUAAUACCCCGCUUUUCUGACGGACCCAAAAAAAAAAGAACCGGAAAAUUGGUU
rnacentral:rRNA from 1 species